GAUGAAGAACGUAGCGAAAUGCGAUAAGUAAUGUGAAUUGCAGAAUUCAGUGAAUCAUCGAAUCUUUGAACGCACAUUGCGCCCGGUAGUAUUCUGCCGGGCAUGCCUGUUCGAGCGUCAUUUCAACCAUCAAGCCCCAGCGCUUGUGUUGGGGGCCUGCGGCUACCGCAGCCCCCUAAAAGCAGUGGCGGGCUCGCUAUCACACCGAGUGCAGUAGUUCAUCUUCUCUCCGGUCUUGUGAGGCGGGUUCCGGCCGUGAAACACCCCACUACAUUCAAGGUUGACCUCGGAUCAGGUAGGAAUACCCGCUGAACUUAAGCAUAUCAAUAAGCGGAGGA
rnacentral:misc_RNA from 1 species